rnacentral:rRNA from 1 species
GACGAACGCUGGCGGCGUGCUUAACACAUGCAAGUCGAACGCUGAAGGCUCAGCUUGCUGGGCUGGAUGAGUGGCGAACGGGUGAGUAACACGUGAGUAACCUGCCCUCUUCUUUGGGAUAACGGUCGGAAACGGCUGCUAAUACCGGGUAUUCACUGUCCUUCGCAUGGGGGGUGGUGGAAAGGUUUUUUCUGGUGGGGGAUGGGCUCGCGGCCUAUCAGCUUGUUGGUGGGGUGAUGGCUUACCAAGGCUUUGACGGGUAACCGGCCUGAGAGGGUGACCGGUCACAUUGGGACUGAGAUACGGCCCAGACUCCUACGGGAGGCAGCAGUGGGGAAUAUUGCACAAUGGGCGAAAGCCUGAUGCAGCGACGCCGCGUGAGGGAUGAAGGCCUUCGGGUUGUAAACCUCUUUCGCUCAUGGUCAAGCCGCAACUUUGGGUUGUGGUGAGGGUAGUGGGUAAAGAAGCACCGGCUAACUACGUGCCAGCAGCCGCGGUAAUACGUAGGGUGCGAGCGUUGUCCGGAAUUAUUGGGCGUAAAGGGCUUGUAGGCGGUUUGUCGCGUCUGCCGUGAAAUCCUCUGGCUUAACUGGGGGCGUGCGGUGGGUACGGGCAGACUUGAGUGCGGUAGGGGAGACUGGAACUCCUGGUGUAGCGGUGGAAUGCGCAGAUAUCAGGAAGAACACCGGUGGCGAAGGCGGGUCUCUGGGCCGUUACUGACGCUGGGGAGCGAAAGCGUGGGGAGCGAACAGG